AUAGGACAAGGGGGAAUGGUCUUAAACUGAGACAGGGGAGGUUUAGGUUGGAUAUUAGGAAGAAGUUUUUCACCCAGAGGGUGGUGACGCACUGAACAGGUUGCCCAAGGAGGCUGUGGAUGCCCCAUCCCUGCAGGCAUUCAAGGCCAGGCUGGAUGUGGCUCUGGGCAGCCUGGUCUGCUGGUUGGCGACCCUGCACAUAGCAGG
rnacentral:lncRNA from 1 species